ACGAACGCUGGCGGCGUGCCUAAUACAUGCAAGUAGAACGCUGAAGAGAGGAGCUUGCUCUUCUUGGAUGAGUUGCGAACGGGUGAGUAACGCGUAGGUAACCUGCCUUGUAGCGGGGGAUAACUAUUGGAAACGAUAGCUAAUACCGCAUAACAAUGGAUGACACAUGUCAUUUAUUUGAAAGGGGCAAUUGUUCCACUACAAGAUGGACCUGCGUUGUAUUAGCUAGUAGGUGAGGUAAUGGCUCACCUAGGCGACGAUACAUAGCCGACCUGAGAGGGUGAUCGGCCACACUGGGACUGAGACACGGCCCAGACUCCUACGGGAGGCAGCAGUAGGGAAUCUUCGGCAAUGGGGGCAACCCUGACCGAGCAACGCCGCGUGAGUGAAGAAGGUUUUCGGAUCGUAAAGCUCUGUUGUAAGUCAAGAACGGGUGUGAGAGUGGAAAGUUCACACUGUGACGGUAGCUUACCAGAAAGGGACGGCUAACUACGUGCCAGCAGCCGCGGUAAUACGUAGGUCCCGAGCGUUGUCCGGAUUUAUUGGGCGUAAAGCGAGCGCAGGCGGUUUGAUAAGUCUGAAGUUAAAGGCUGUGGCUCAACCAUAGUUCGCUUUGGAAACUGUCAAACUUGAGUGCAGAAGGGGAGAGUGGAAUUCCAUGUGUAGCGGUGAAAUGCGUAGAUAUAUGGAGGAACACCGGUGGCGAAAGCGGCUCUCUGGUCUGUAACUGACGCUGAGGCUCGAAAGCGUGGGGAGCGAACAGGAUUAGAUACCCUGGUAGUCCACGCCGUAAACGAUGAGUGCUAGGUGUUGGAUCCUUUCCGGGAUUCAGUGCCGCAGCUAACGCAUUAAGCACUCCGCCUGGGGAGUACGACCGCAAGGUUGAAACUCAAAGGAAUUGACGGGGGCCCGCACAAGCGGUGGAGCAUGUGGUUUAAUUCGAAGCAACGCGAAGAACCUUACCAGGUCUUGACAUCCCGAUGCUAUUUCUAGAGAUAGAAAGUUACUUCGGUACAUCGGUGACAGGUGGUGCAUGGUUGUCGUCAGCUCGUGUCGUGAGAUGUUGGGUUAAGUCCCGCAACGAGCGCAACCCCUAUUGUUAGUUGCCAUCAUUCAGUUGGGCACUCUAGCGAGACUGCCGGUAAUAAACCGGAGGAAGGUGGGGAUGACGUCAAAUCAUCAUGCCCCUUAUGACCUGGGCUACACACGUGCUACAAUGGUUGGUACAACGAGUUGCGAGUCGGUGACGGCGAGCUAAUCUCUUAAAGCCAAUCUCAGUUCGGAUUGUAGGCUGCAACUCGCCUACAUGAAGUCGGAAUCGCUAGUAAUCGCGGAUCAGCACGCCGCGGUGAAUACGUUCCCGGGCCUUGUACACACCGCCCGUCACACCACGAGAGUUUGUAACACCCGAAGUCGGUGAAGUAACCUUUUGGAGCCAGCCGCCUAAGGUGGGACAGAUGAUUGGGGUG
rnacentral:rRNA from 1 species